rnacentral:rRNA from 1 species
AUUGAACGCUGGCGGCAUGCUUUACACAUGCAAGUCGAACGGUAACAGGCCGCAAGGCGCUGACGAGUGGCGAACGGGUGAGUAAUGCAUCGGAACGUGCCCAGUCGUGGGGGAUAACGCAGCGAAAGCUGUGCUAAUACCGCAUACGAUCUGUGGAUGAAAGCGGGGGACCGAAAGGCCUCGCGCGAUUGGAGCGGCCGAUGUCAGAUUAGGUAGUUGGUGGGGUAAAGGCUCACCAAGCCAACGAUCUGUAGCUGGUCUGAGAGGACGACCAGCCACACUGGGACUGAGACACGGCCCAGACUCCUACGGGAGGCAGCAGUGGGGAAUUUUGGACAAUGGGCGCAAGCCUGAUCCAGCAAUGCCGCGUGCAGGAAGAAGGCCUUCGGGUUGUAAACUGCUUUUGUACGGAGCGAAAAGGCUCUCUCUAAUACAGGGGGCUCAUGGCGGUACCGUAAGAAUAAGCACCGGCUAACUACGUGCCAGCCGCCGCUGUAAGAC